AGUGAACGCUGGCGGUAGGCCUAACACAUGCAAGUCGAACGGCAGCACAGUAAGAGCUUGCUCUUACGGGUGGCGAGUGGCGGACGAGUGAGGAAUACAUCGGAAUCUACUUUUUCGUGGGGGAUAACGUAGGGAAACUUACGCUAAUACCGCAUACGACCUACGGGUGAAAGCAGGGGAUCUUCGGACCUUGCGCGAUUGAAUGAGCCGAUGUCGGAUUAGCUAGUUGGCGGGGUAAAGGCCCACCAAGGCGACGAUCCGUAGCUGGUCUGAGAGGAUGAUCAGCCACACUGGAACUGAGACACGGUCCAGACUCCUACGGGAGGCAGCAGUGGGGAAUAUUGGACAAUGGGCGCAAGCCUGAUCCAGCCAUACCGCGUGGGUGAAGAAGGCCUUCGGGUUGUAAAGCCCUUUUGUUGGGAAAGAAAAGCAGCAGGUUAAUACCCCGCUGUUCUGACGGUACCAAAAGAAUAAGCACCGGCUAACUUCGUG
rnacentral:rRNA from 1 species